rnacentral:rRNA from 1 species
AGUGGCGGACGGGUGAGUAACGCGUGAGAAUCUGCCUUGGGGUCGGGGACAACCACUGGAAACGGUGGCUAAUACCGGAUAAGCCGAUUGGUGAAAGAUUUAUUGCCCGAAGAGGAGCUCGCGUCUGAUUAGCUAGUUGGUGAGGUAAGAGCUCACCAAGGCAGCGAUCAGUAGCUGGUCUGAGAGGACGAUCAGCCACACUGGGACUGAGACACGGCCCAGACUCCUACGGGAGGCAGCAGUGGGGAAUUUUCCGCAAUGGGCGAAAGCCUGACGGAGCAAGACCGCGUGAGGGACGAAGGCUCUUGGGUUGUAAACCUCUUUUCUCAGGGAAGAAGCUCUGACGGUACCUGAGGAAUCAGCCUCGGCUAACUCCGUGCCAGCAGCCGCGGUAAUACGGAGGAGGCAAGCGUUAUCCGGAAUUAUUGGGCGUAAAGCGUCCGCAGGUGGCGAUUCAAGUCUGCUGUCAAAGCACGGGGCUUAACUCCGUAAAGGCAGUGGAAACUGAAUAGCUAGAGUGCCGUAGGGGUAGAGGGAAUUCCCGGUGUAGCGGUGAAAUGCGUAGAGAUCGGGAAGAACAUCGGUGGCGAAAGCGCUCUACUGGACGGCAACUGACACUCAGGGACGAAAGCUAGGGGAGCGAAUGGGAUUAGAUACCCC